rnacentral:rRNA from 1 species
UACGAAGGGGGCUAGCGUUGCUCGGAAUCACUGGGCGUAAAGGGUGCGUAGGCGGGGUUUUAAGUCAGAGGGGAAAUCCUGGAGCUCAACUCCAGAACUGCCUUUGAUACUGGGAAUCUUGAGUAUGGAAGAGGUGAGUGGAACUGCGAGUGUAGAGGUGAAAUUCGUAGAUAUUCGCAAGAACACCAGUGGCGAAGGCGGCUCACUGGUCCAUAACUGACGCUGAGGCACGAAAGCGUGGGGAGCAAACAGG